rnacentral:rRNA from 1 species
CCCUUAGAUGUUCUGGGCCGCACGCGCGCUACACUGAUGCAUUCAACGAGUCUAAAACCUGCUCUGAUAGGGGUGGGUAAUCUUUUGAAUGUGCAUCGUGAUUGGGAUAGAUGAUUGCAAUUUUUCAUCUUCAACGAGAAAUGCCUAGUAAACGCAAGUCAUCAGCUUGCAUUGAUUACGUCCCUGCCCUUUGUACACACCGCCCGUCGCUCCUACCGAUUGAAUGAUCCGAUGAAUAUCAUGGAUUGAGGAUGCAAGCAGGUUCGCCUGUCUUCAUCUUCGAGAAGUGAAGUAAAUCUUAUCACUUAGAGGAAGGAGAAGUCGUAACA